rnacentral:rRNA from 1 species
AGUGAACGCUGGCGGUAGGCCUAACACAUGCAAGUCGAACGGCAGCACAGUAAGAGCUUGCUCUUACGGGUGGCGAGUGGCGGACGGGUGAGGAAUACAUCGGAAUCUACUUUUUCGUGGGGGAUAACGUAGGGAAACUUACGCUAAUACCGCAUACGACCUACGGGUGAAAGCAGGGGAUCUUCGGACCUUGCGCGAUUGAAUGAGCCGAUGUCGGAUUAGCUAGUUGGCGGGGUAAAGGCCCACCAAGGCGACGAUCCGUAGCUGGUCUGAGAGGAUGGUCAGCCACACUGGAACUUAGCCACGGUCCAGACUCCUACGGGAGGCAGCAGUGGGGAAUAUUGGACAAUGGGCGCAAGCCUGAUCCAGCCAUACCGCGUGGGUGAAGAAGGCCUUCGGGUUGUAAAGCCCUUUUGUUGGGAAAGAAAAGCAGCAGGUUAAUACCCCGCUGUUCUGACGGUACCCAAAGAAUAAGCACCGGCUAACUUCGUG